AGGGAAUCGGGUUAAGAUUUCUCGAGCCGGGAUGUGGCGGUUGACAGCGACGUUAGGAAGUCCGGAGACUCCGGCGGGGGCCUCGGGAAGAGUUAACUUUUCUGCUUAAUGGCCUGCCAACCUUGGAAACAGUUCAGCCGGAGGUAGGGUCCAGUGGCCGGAAGAGCACCGCACGUCGCGCGGUGUCCGGUGCGCCCCCGGCGGCCC
rnacentral:ncRNA from 1 species